rnacentral:tRNA from 1 species
GGGCGAUUAGCUCAGUUGGUUAGAGCGCAUGCCUCACAUGCAUGAGGUCACCUGUUCAAAUCAGGUAUCGCCCA